rnacentral:lncRNA from 1 species
CACCUCUUUAAUUCCAUGAUCAUAUAUCAUUAGCUCAAAUGAAUAGUAAACCUCAACAGCAAUAUAGCAUGGUACAAAGGGGCUGGUAGGCCUUAAUCUUGCCCACAAUCUGGGCAUCCCAUGAGCUGAAGAAAAACAAUAAUUCCACAUGAGCCCCUCCUAAAUUAUAAGAAAGGUAUUGAUUUUCAUUUCCCACUUCUCAAAAUUUACAGUCCUCUUACAUAUUGAGAAGAUACUAACUUUCGCCGAAAAAUAAUUCUAGGACAUUAUGCACUUGCACUCACUUUGAGCUGCAUUUUUUCCAACUCCUGCUACACCACCUCGUACAUUUUCAUAUAGCGUACCCAUAUGAUCCAGUCAAGAAUUGUGACUCCCUUAAUUUUAGAAUAUCUGUAGCGAAGAGAGCAUCAUCAUUGUUUAUUGUUCAGAAAUCAGCGGGAGGACUUACAGUGCAUCAUGAUUGUUUAUUUUUGCAUGUACUCUUCUCCAAUGCAGCUUUCACCAGAGUCCCAACAGCAAUUUUAUCCUCCUGCCUGCGGAUUUAAGAACCAUCAAAAGAAUGUUCAUAUGAAGCUAAUAAAGCCAACAUGUACAAGUUUUCAAUCUCAGCUUCCUGCAAUGUUUUUCUUUAACUGUUUACCUGUACGCUAGAUGUGUAGGGAGAUCUGUUUCUACAGCAGCAUUAUCAAAUGGGCCAGAUCCAACUAUUGGCUUAGCCCUGAUUAUUUUGGAGAUAAUACUUUUCCUUGUACAUUUUUGUUGAGAGAACAUGUACAUAUCUCGGAAGAAAAGGAAGCAAAGUAAUCAUGUUGU